UACGAAGGGGGCGAGCGUUGUUCGGAAUUACUGGGCGUAAAGGGCGCGUAGGCGGCGACUCAAGUUAGAUGUGAAAGUCCUGGGCUUAACCUGGGGACUGCAUUUGAUACUGGGUUGCUUGAAUUCGGGAGAGGAUAGCGGAAUUCCCAGUGUAGAGGUGAAAUUCGUAGAUAUUGGGAAGAACACCGGUGGCGAAGGCGGCAUCCUGGACCGGUAUUGACGCUGAGGCGCGAAAGCCAGGGGAGCAAACGGG
rnacentral:rRNA from 1 species